rfam:Nomascus leucogenys chromosome 7b, whole genome shotgun sequence.
GCCGGGCAUGGUGGCGUGUGCCUGUAGUCCCAGCUACUCGGGAGGCUGAGGCAGGAGAAUUGCUUGAACCCAGGAGGCAGAGGUUGCAGUGAGCCAAGAUUGGGCCACUGCACUCCAGCCUGGGCAACAGAGCAAGACUGUCUCAA